rnacentral:lncRNA from 1 species
ACAGGUGGACUUCUAGAAGUUGGGUCGUCUAUGUUGAACUUUCAUCAUUAUCGCUUACUACUUUAAUGUCAUGAAAAAAAAAUUCACCAAUCUAAAGAAAAAUAUCAAGUCUUGUAUGAACCUUUAAGGACAAUUGAAAAAAAACCUCGACUAAACAUUGUGUUGAAGACAUUGAUGAUAUUGCACAUAUUUAAUGAGUCUAUCCAA